GCAAAAAUAAAGCAGCAGAAUGAGGACUCAGGGGUAAGAAACCAAAGGCAAUAGAUUGAGAUGCCACAUGCACAUUUCUCAGCUAUCCCCCAGGAGGAGGCAUCCCAGUCAUCCUUGCCAAGACUACCCUAGGUCAGCCAACAGCCAUCCAACCUCCAGCCAGAGUUUAGGUGGCUCCAAGAAGGGAAAUAAUCUGAUAGUUUUGGACAUGAAUUUCAUAGGACUAUGCCUUAUGAUGGAUUUGGUGCUCCAGAAAACUCCAUAGCUCUGACCUUAACCUCUUUCCUUGUUCCUUCUUUAACUCAGGUAAGAUGCACUGGGCUGUUUCUGCAAAUCUUCCUAGCCUGAAAUGAGGACAAUCUGUCUUCUUUUAUUUCUUAACCACUGGAAAUGAGAGUGAAUUCAUCAUAC